rnacentral:rRNA from 1 species
UACGGAGGAUGCGAGCGUUAUCCGGAUUUAUUGGGUUUAAAGGGUGCGUAGGCGGACUGUCAAGUCAGCGGUAAAAUUGAGAGGCUCAACCUCUUCCCGCCGUUGAAACUGGUGGUCUUGAGUGGAAGAGAAGUACGCGGAAUGCGUGGUGUAGCGGUGAAAUGCAUAGAUAUCACGCAGUACUCCGAUUGCGAAGGCAGCGUACCGGCAUCCAACUGACGCUGAGGCACGAAAGCGUGGGGAUCAAACAGG